CCUAACUCAGCACUGCCUCUUUCUGCGAGACCAGGAAACAGCCCCGCUUACAGCCCUCCGCGCAGGGAAGCCGAAGGAGAAAGUGGCUCCCUUGCUCAGGUGAGAAGUGUUAAAUCAAGGAAAAGAAACUGGUGCUGUCUACUUUGAGCACACAUCAGGGGAAGGUGAAAAGGACAGGACCCAGAAAGUGAACAGGUCCUGCUCCACCUGUGGUUGGGUAAAAUGGUCAAUAUGAAGACUAAGCAGAUACAUUACUUAUAUAGAUGACUAUUCCAUCUGCAUACCUACGUGGGAGAGGGAAAAAUAAUCUUAAACAAAGCACGAUAAUCUCCUGGAAACCUAUUCUUCACAAUAUGCAAAUCUCCAGGAACUGCAUUUCUGAUCCCGAUGCAACAGCACAAAAGCUAUUGUCGUAAGAAAUGGUUUAACCUGUCAGCAACACUGUCACUACAAUUACUACCACUAAUAAAGAUAUGAUCAUAAUCUGCCACUUAAGGAUCAUUAGAUAGAUUAUGACUAUUGU